rnacentral:lncRNA from 1 species
UUCCUAGCAACACCCAUACUCUCACAAGCUUCAAUAAGUUCAUUAUAAGAAAUAACUUCUUUUCCAUCCAUACCAAGUUUCAUCUUUAGAGAUUCCACAUUCACCAAUCUCAUAAGCUUCUUAGCUUCAGAGAAAGAUAUAGUCUCAUCUUUCCCUUUACCAUUGCUUUGCACACCCCCAUUCUCUGAUGAAUCAUUGUUGCUACUAUCAGAAGAUGAAGAACACAUACCCCUUUUCAUUUGGUUCAUCACAACAACUGAAAAAUAUCCAACCCCUUUUCUCUUUUCACCAUAUUCCAAUCUAAAAUCCCUCAUAUUCAUCAAAAAUGGAUCAAAAGAUUGAAUUUUUCCACCAUAACUAUGAUUUCCAUUGAAAAUUGAAUACGCCCUUUUUCUCAACAACCCAUUGCUCCAUCUACUCCACAUUUUUAAAACCAAGAAAUAAAAAUCAAAAUUUUAUAUUCAAAACACACAAAUCGAAGAAAAUAAACACAACCCAGUAUUUUUAUGAGCAUGAAAAACUAAUGUAACAACAACCCAGUUUUUUUUCAUUUGAAAAAAUGAAACUUGUUUAAGAAAUGAAAAGAAAAGAGGAAAGUGACUAAUUUGGGAAAGAAAAACGUGUGCAAUGGCUUAAGGUAAGGAACAUGUUUGACAAAGUUU